rnacentral:rRNA from 1 species
UACAGAGGUCUCAAGCGUUGUUCGGAUUCAUUGGGCGUAAAGGGUGUGUAGGUGGCGCGCUAAGUCGGGUGUGAAAUUUCGGAGCUUAACUCCGAAACUGCAUUCGAUACUGGCGUGCUUGAGGACUGGAGAGGAGACUGGAAUUUACGGUGUAGCAGUGAAAUGCGUAGAUAUCGUAAGGAAGACCAGUGGCGAAGGCGGGUCUCUGGACAGUUCCUGACGCUGAGGCACGAAGGCCAGGGGAGCAAACAGG